rnacentral:tRNA from 1 species
GUCUGAAUAGCUUAUAAAGAGCGUAACACUGAAGAUGUUAAGGAGAUUUUAGGAUCUUUAGACA